UGUCUGAAAUGGUAUAGCGUUUCCUGCCUGAGCAGGGGGUUGGACUAGAUGAACUCCAAGUUCAGAUAUGCUUACUUCUGAAAUUUCCAGUGAAGAUAUGGCAAAUUGAAAAUAGUUCUGCAAAAGCAGAGCUGAUAACCACAGCAAAAACUAAGGAACCGGUGAGUAGAAUCCUCUCCAAAUAAUAAAAGGAUGGGAGAUCACCCAUAUGUCCUCCAGAUAGUUGCUCCUCGUAAGACUAUAGAAUAGUGAUUUCCCAUGAUUUCUGAGUACUGGAAGACAAUGGAAUCAGCCAUUUUGCUCAUGCCUGUGGCAGAGCCUUUUAAAGGACACUAAGUUCACAAAUCUCAUUUUCUAAUUCUCUUCAAAAAUUGCCUAUUAGCUAUUCUAAACCUAUAUGAGCCAUUCUAGGUAAACCAGACAGGAUAGACAACUAGAUGAGCUAUUUUAUUGUAAAGCUGCAUUAACAGACUUGUAGGUCUGAAAGUAGAAAAUUUCCCACUGCCAAUUUUAACUGUUUGACCCCUUAGGGUGGAUCCUUCCAAAGCAGCUGACCAUUGAGCCAUUGGGGAUCCUUCUCUUGUCUGAUUGUGUCCCAGGCAGCACCCCUUUCCCAUCUUCCCCAAGGUCACUUCCCAUAUUCCAAGUUUAAAUUAGAGACAAUUCACAAUGACAGGUUUAAGAACUCUAAACAAAAGAAAAAUUGAUUACAAGCUUAUAACUUAAAGUACUGGCUCCCAACCUUUUCUAUACCCUGCACCCCUAGAACGCUUCUGAUAUACUCUCGCAAUCCUUACAAAAGUUCGAAAUAACGGCAACGAAUUAUGCAUAUACACUAUAAUUUUGAAAAACCAAAUUUUUGCAUCCCAUGGAAUAUCAUCUCGCAGCCCCGGUUGGGAACCCCUGACUUAAAGAGUUUGAAGUAAAGAGCAAAAAGCUAAAUAAGAUUUUGAUCUAAGGGCUUCCGGUUUCGUCACACAGCCGCCAUGGACGGCUGGGAGAUCUGCUCUUUCUCCCCUGUUCAAUUUUGCAUCGCUGGGGGGCCCUGAAAAGGGCCAAAAAUCGCCCCGGAGAAGCGACCAGGAGGAGGGGCUUUUGCUGGAUCACAAGAGAGCAGCAAUUUUCCUGUGAGACCUGGCAUUUCCUCCAAACUGGUGGACAAAAAGACCGGCCAUAGAAAUAUGGCUUGUCCCUAGGCUGCUAACAGCUGAAGUCACAUUAACAUCUGGCAACUUCAAAGCAGCAUGGAAAGGAUUGGGUGAGAUCUGCCUCUCUUACAUCCUAAUUACUUAAUUACCUGCAUAAGCUGCUAAAGUACUUUCCCCCCUGUGGUGAGGGAAGGGGGAUUUUAGCCCUCUCUCCAGAAACAGCAGGUAUCAACCACUUGGGAGUCUAAAACAUUGG